CCUACGGGAGGCAGCAGUGGGGAAUUUUGCGCAAUGGGGGCAACCCUGACGCAGCAACGCCGCGUGAGUGAUGAAGGCCUUCGGGUCGUAAAGCUCUGUCAGAGGGGAAGAAAUGCAGGUGGUGAACAACCAUUCUGUUUGACGGUACCCUCAAAGGAAGCAUCGGCUAACUCCGUGCCAGCAGCCGCGGUAAUACGGAGGGUGCGAGCGUUGUUCGGAAUUAUUGGGCGUAAAGCGCGUGUAGGCGGUUUGUUAAGUCUGAUGUGAAAGCCCCGGGCUAAACCUGGGAAGUGCAUUGGAUACUGGCAGACUUGAGUACGGGAGAGGAGAGUGAAAUUCCCAGUGUAGGAGUGAAAUCCGUAGAUACCGGGAGGAACACCAGUGGCGAAGGCGGCAUCCUGGCUCAUAACUGACGCUGAGUCGCGAAAGCGUGGGGAUCAAACAGGAUUAGAUACCCCUGUAGU
rnacentral:rRNA from 1 species